GAGAAGCUUGCUUCUCUGAUGUUAGCGGCGGACGGGUGAGUAACACGUGGAUAACCUACCUAUAAGACUGGGAUAACUUCGGGAAACCGGAGCUAAUACCGGAUAAUAUUUUGAACCGCAUGGUUCAAAAGUGAAAGACGGUCUUGCUGUCACUUAUAGAUGGAUCCGCGCUGCAUUAGCUAGUUGGUAAGGUAACGGCUUACCAAGGCAACGAUGCAUAGCCGACCUGAGAGGGUGAUCGGCCACACUGGAACUGAGACACGGUCCAGACUCCUACGGGAGGCAGCAGUAGGGAAUCUUCCGCAAUGGGCGAAAGCCUGACGGAGCAACGCCGCGUGAGUGAUGAAGGUCUUCGGAUCGUAAAACUCUGUUAUUAGGGAAGAACAUAUGUGUAAGUAACUGUGCACAUCUUGACGGUACCUAAUCAGAAAGCCACGGCUAACUACGUGCCAGCAGCCGCGGUAAUACGUAGGUGGCAAGCGUUAUCCGGAAUUAUUGGGCGUAAAGCGCGCGUAGGCGGUUUUUUAAGUCUGAUGUGAAAGCCCACGGCUCAACCGUGGAGGGUCAUUGGAAACUGGAAAACUUGAGUGCAGAAGAGGAAAGUGGAAUUCCAUGUGUAGCGGUGAAAUGCGCAGAGAUAUGGAGGAACACCAGUGGCGAAGGCGACUUUCUGGUCUGUAACUGACGCUGAUGUGCGAAAGCGUGGGGAUCAAACAGGAUUAGAUACCCUGGUAGUCCACGCCGUAAACGAUGAGUGCUAAGUGUUAGGGGGUUUCCGCCCCUUAGUGCUGCAGCUAACGCAUUAAGCACUCCGCCUGGGGAGUACGACCGCAAGGUUGAAACUCAAAGGAAUUGACGGGGACCCGCACAAGCGGUGGAGCAUGUGGUUUAAUUCGAAGCAACGCGAAGAACCUUACCAAAUCUUGACAUCCUUUGACAACUCUAGAGAUAGAGCCUUCCCCUUCGGGGGACAAAGUGACAGGUGGUGCAUGGUUGUCGUCAGCUCGUGUCGUGAGAUGUUGGGUUAAGUCCCGCAACGAGCGCAACCCUUAAGCUUAGUUGCCAUCAUUAAGUUGGGCACUCUAAGUUGACUGCCGGUGACAAACCGGAGGAAGGUGGGGAUGACGUCAAAUCAUCAUGCCCCUUAUGAUUUGGGCUACACACGUGC
rnacentral:rRNA from 1 species